AAGAUGACCCUCUCCUUUCAUAACCAACUCAAAUGGAAUAAGCAACCUGUCAGAGUGCCUGAUUAAGACUUUACUGUACUGGGGCAGUGGGGGAAGGCCAUCAUGGAAAAGCCAUGAAGUUCAUGUCUGGACUGUUGUCAAUUCUUGAGAAGCCCAGAAAGAAAAAGAUUCAAAUACGAAACAGUGUCCAAUUGUUACCAUUCCAGGUGCGAUCUUAAAGGGUUCUUGUUUUAUGGCUGGAAGUAUGCUCUGUAAGAGGAGAAGUUAAAGAUUCUAUACUUCUCUUUCACUGGAAGAAAAUCAAUAUUGAAUGAGCCUCAGAUCUACUGUGCCGAAUUCUCUGCCCGCCAAGAACCUCUACACCAUGUGAUACAGAGCAACUUAGCUUCAAAAAGAAUAUUUUGUCACCUGAGAUAUAACCAGGACCUUCUGCAACAGAAUGCAAUUCAUCACCUCAAGGCUGUUGCCCCAAAUCACUGAAUGAUCAAGUCUUUUUAACUGUAUUUUCAUGAGACUGGAAGGAGAAGGUACACAGAAUCCUCUUAAGAGUUUGAGAAACUCUUAAACUCUUCUUCUUCCAUGAAUAGAAGAAGAUUUUUGGGAGUGGAACAGAUCUGCACAAGAAGCUAAGUGAAGGACAAACAGUAAAAAUGAAAGUGAACCCUUUUGAGCAGAAUACUCCACAAGUCUUUGGAUCUUUUUGUAUAUAGCCUGAGAUUUAUCAUAUUAUUCAUUGCCCGGAAGAGAAAACCUAUAAUGGCAGGAGGCCAUAAAAAAGACCCAAUUUGGGAAUAUUGUAAUAUUGUUUGGGAAGUUCCACUACCUACAGGCAACUGCCUGGAAUGGGAUGUUGACAACUGAUGUUAAUAUCAUCCAGAUCCAGAUAAGGCUUUUUUAGGAGUGGUCUAAAUAACAUUUCCAUUAUAGAGGUCAGCUCCAUUCUACUCCACUCCUCUCCACUCUACUCCAAGGAAUUUACAGCCAUACCUUGAGCCUCCCUGUUCCCAGACUACAGUGCUAUGUUGAACCAAGGAUCUUAUCCUCACAACAACAAUCAUGUGAGGAAGGUUGAGCAGAGUGUGUGUGACUGGCCCUAAGUUGCCCAGUGAGCUCCAUGGCUGAAUGGGACUAAAACCCAGAUUGUCUGAGUCUCAUAUCCACACUCUGAACCACUAUUUCACACUGGAUCUCAAGUACUGGUUUCACAGGUGCCUCUCAAGAUCUCUUUUCGCAUUUUAAGAACUACAAAAAUGCCAUGAGGCCAUUUUCUAAAAAAUAUUUCAAAUCCUGUUUCUGAUAUUUAAAGAAACUUUAUUGUUGGCCUGGACAUUCUUAUUGAUUGGCUCCUCAAAUUCUUGCAUCUCCCUUGGGAAGCUUGCACUCAAGUUUGUCUUCCUCACUGCGGCAAGAUUUCCACUUUCUGAAUUCCCUCAUUUUCCUCCUUUGAAAAGUUUCCUCCUUUGAAACCAAAUGUGACUGUAUGGGACCUCUUCGGCAAUCACUCACUUAA